CUUUUCUAAAGCUGUGAUUGAACAAUCCGUUUUACAAACCCCGUUCAAACCCUAAAAACUAUAACGCCGCACAUUGCAUCAUCUUCAAUCGAUCUCUUCAAUCCUUUUAUUUGAUUUUCUCUUGUAAGUAAGAAGCCUGAUAAUCUUCCAAAUAGCGAUUGACAACCACAUAGCUAACAUUGCCCAUGAAAUCAGGCCUAAGAAGAUAUGAAAUGGUCGCCAUACUUGAUACCAAUGCUUGGAUUGUAUGAAUCGCCCUAUCUGCUCUCUUUGUCUCAAUCAUCACAAGGACCACCAAACCAUUUAGGGGUUUUGAAGCAUGAUGACGAGGGUUUGAAUGCUAAAUCUCUUUCAUCUUCUACAUUUGAGAUUCGAAAAUUGGGAUUUUAGGCAUGUAGUCGGGGAUCCUUACAGAACGCAGAUUGCAUUCUUUUUUUUUUUUUUUUCCAAAUGAGCACCAAUUUCCUUCACAAUUGGGUUUUAUCAUGAGGUUUCUUUUAGCUGUGACUCAGUUGAUGAGUUAUAGCGGCUGAAAGGAAGGCUAACUUAAAUAAUGAGCAACUGUGAUGCAGCUGAUGCUUUGUGUCUUCAUUUUUCUACAGUACUAUGUUCAUCUUGGAGUGAUAUCUGGUGAUUUAGCAAGAUUUGAGUAGUCGGAGAUUUAGUAAAGACUUAUCGAGAUAUCUGGUGAUUCUACCAAAUCUUAGAUCUUCUUAAAAUCAGGAAAGAUGCUGGAGUCUGGUGAUUCUACCAAAUCUUAGAUCUUCUUAAAAUCAGGAAAGAUGCUGGAGUGAAGGACCCUUUCUGGAUUCCACCACCUGGUUGGAAGGCCGGUGAUUCUCUGGUCCAGGAUCCCAUUGUGGCAAAAGAAAUCAGAAAUCUACAAGUAAUUUCAAAUAUCAAAAGUCUCUUCACAGGGAUUAUGAGGAGGAAUUAGGAAAACUGAAAAGGGAGGUCCAGGAGUUGAGUUCAAAGAAAGAUGAAAGUCAAGCUAUUGUGGUUUCUAAACAAGUUGACCCGGUUCCUAAACAACCAACUGAUAUCUUUAUUUAUAUGUUUGAUUCAAAGUCAGAAACAAGUGAGGCACAUAACAUAAGGAUAAACGCAGCAAGGUCCUACAGGUCAGUCUUCUAAUCAAUGUUAAAUGAUAUAUAUACAUACGUACGGAUCAAAUGCAUUUAAUAUGCAUGAGAAGUUUCUAAUUUGAUAUGACAUCACCAAAUUCUGUGCACCAGUCUUUCUAAAACUGUGAAUAUGUGAUUGAGAUGAUUAGUUUAAACUUAUCUUGACUACUCGUGUAUUUCAGAUCUAAAACGGAAUUGCAGAUCUGUUAAAGUUCUAUAAUAGUUUCAUAUUUGGUGUUGUGGUGAGUCAGAUCUAAAUCACAAGUUUUUGGUAGUGUUAAUCGUAGAAAGAAGGAGAAGGUUCAGAUUUGUUAUUGUUUUUGUUGUUGUUCUUUGAGCAGAGAAUUAUUCCUGAUCUGAGUUGCUUUUGCUUUGUAACACACGAAGUAGAAUGUUGAUGUUGUACGGCUGGAUUUAAAGAAUUGAUAAACGGAUCAUAAUCAAACUGAUUCAAAGAAGAAAGACCGGCUGGUUCGAAAAGAAGAAAGACCGGCUGGUUCGAUUAGGUUGCAUGUUUUUCAAAGUAUUUUUUUAGGCUGAACAAAGGGAAUAGGAGAGUUUAUAAUCGACAGUUCAAUCGAUUGUCUCUCUGCCUUUUAAAAUUGUCUACUUCCAUUGAAUCGACGGCGAAUAGAUGAAUAAUCUCGCUGGAUUGGCGGCUAUGUCCCACCGCGGCGGUAGUUUUCGGCGUAUUCUGGGUCUUGCAUUCUGCCUCACCGAAGUCCGCUUAUAUACGAGAUAAUUCGAUUUCAAGCGUUAUUCCGAUGGAGAUUUCAUCGCUUCCAUAGAUAACGGAAGUUGAUCUAUCGCAUAAUCUGCUCACUGGUACCAUUCCUUCAACUUUUGGUAACUGUCGUACGCUUGAAGCAUUCAAUGUAUCGUAUAAUCAGCUCACGGGACAUGUGCCUUCGUCGGGGAUCGCGUUUUCGAGCCUGCAUCUGUCGUCGUUCACUGGAAAUGAAGGACUCUACGGCAGGGUUAUUAACAAACCGUGUGGGGCUGAUGCGGAACAUGAGGUGAAACGGAUUCAAUCGAAGAAGCCUACGGGUGCAAACUUACAAACCGACUUUUUUUGUGCACCACUAUUCACAACCACUGCCACCGUUGUCGCCAUCCCACUGACGCUGUUGCUACCACCUUCACCACUGCUGCCAUCUCCACCUGUCGCCAUUAACUGCCAAAACAUAUUGGGGGAUCAUUUCCUUUUCUAAAACGACUCAUUUUCAACCUGAGCCCAUUUUGGUCAGAACUGUUUUGGCAUGAACCAAUUUGAUACUUAUUUAAAGCUGCCUGUUUUAACCCUAUCCAGUUUUAGUUAGAACCUGUUUUGACCCAAAUCCAGUUUGACUUGCAUCCGUUUUGAUUCGUUACCCAUCACAACUCACCCCACCUUUUUUAGGCUUUAUUCAGACUAUUGUCGGUGCAUUCAAAGUUAUGAUGGAAAGAUUAUAUAUAUAUGUGUGUAUUUUGUUUAAUAUGUAAUCUUUUUUUUGUUUGUGAUGUUGCAGAGGAGAACACAGAUUGCAUUCUUUUUUUUUUUCCAAAUGAGCACCAAUUUCCUUCACAAUUGGGUUUUAUCAUGAGGUUUUUUUUAGCCGGUAAACUUUUAGAUUUUGUUCUUUGUACUCCCUCUUACUCUGUUAGAUGUUUUUCGAUUUGGGUUUUUUAUUACACUAUUAACCGGGAUUUGAAGGACAUUUUAAUAAAGAUUAUCACUUUGCUUGAAUCUUCAGUAAUCUUGGAUUACAAUGUUGCAGUGACUCAGUUGAUGAGUUAUAGCGGCCGAAAGGAAGGCUAACUUAAAUAAUGAGCAACUGUGAUGCAGCUGAUGCUUUGUGUCUUCAUUUUUCUACAGGUAAAAUGUAGUUGAUGCUGAUGCUUUGUGUCUUCAUUUACCCCACUUUUAGUUUUUAACCUAAACGGGUUCGCUGAAAAAGUUGAUGCUUAUGAUAAACUACUCAAUGAAAUGGUGUUGGAUAUGCGUGCUCGCCCGUCAAACAGGUUAAAAACGCCCGAAGAACUUGCACAAGACGAAAAAGAGCGACUAGAAGAAUUGGAGGUAUGUUAAUUAUAAUGUUUCUUAUAAUGAAUGGUCGGUGGCCUAUGCCACCGACAAAAAGGCAAAAAAGGCCACUGUGCAAUCAUCUGGAUUACGGCCACAGCGUUUGGGUCGGUUUGUUUAUUCUUGUGGGCGGAAUCCGGUUCUUCCGUGCGAAUUACCAUCGAGGGUUUGUAGCGGAAGAAGCAGAGACGCGGCCUUCUAUUUUUUGUUCUCCUUUUAUUGAUAAAGGUAAAAGUUACAUCAUAAUUAAGCUUUUUUUCUUAAUUAACUUUUAUGUGGUUGUUAUAAAUCUUCACCAGUCUUAAUCUAUGCACUGGUUUAUUUUUUGUUUAACUGGAAUUGUUCUUGCUAUUACUAAUGUACUCCAGAUCACUCACGCAGUUGUAGCCUGAGUAAGUUGACAUCUCUCCGCGUGGGUUCAGAUUAAACCGUCAAAAUUUAUGAUCUAUUAAUUCAUGUUGAAGAACUAUAAGUCUCAUGACAUAGAUCGAUAGCAACGGUCGUAUGAAUAAGAAAAUUAACAAACUUAAAUUGAUAAAAAAAUGAGUAUCUGGGGUUAUUAGAUUAGCAUGUAGUGCAGCUGAUGAACGUGCUAAGCAUGUAGUUUCGGAUGAUUUUACUUUAUGAAAACUAGGGUGGUUGACAAUUUGGUUAAUUUCUCUAUAUUUGUGUUGGUUGAUUUGCCAGCAAAGAGGUACAAAAAAUUGGAAGCCACAUAUAAUGUACCAAUUAUAUCUAUGUAAGUUUUAACUAACAAAAGUUUUUUUUUUUAAGUUAACUUAAUUAAUUUCUUAUUGUUCACUUAAGUUCCACCUUUUAUACGAGUGUGAUAUCUAGCUAUUGGUUGUGAAAAGUUUACUUAAAAAGUAGCUUAUAAAAUAAUUUAGGAAUAAUGGAUUUUAAUAAUCCUAACUAUCAGCCGUUGCCAUUGGCCGGCAAUGGAUUUUAAAGUGUGUCCCUUUGCAUUUUGGCAACCAACCAUCUACCAUUGAUCUCAAUUCAGUUGGAGAGGAAACAAAAUCUCAAGAUUGAGCUAGAGGGGUACAUUUCUUUAGGUUAUGAUUCAUAUUCCAUAUCUUCUAACGAAUUUUGACACAUUUUAUUUGCUAAGAAGCAAAUAACUUGAAAAUUCUUAAUUUAAAAUUAGAGGUGCACUUUGCAUAAACUCGUGAACUAUUGAUGAUUAUUUCCAGUAUUAUGGAACCAAAGAAGUAAAAAAAAUAGACGUGCACCUUGCUACUGAUCUGUUAGCUUUAUGGGUUGAUUUGUGAUUGUGUUUUAUGUCAAAUGGGUCAAAAAAGGGCAGGCAAGCUACGCCGGUGUAGCGGACAGCCACUGUUGCUUGUCCAUUCUUCCGACAUGAGGUAAUAGUUGAUUACUAUAUAUGUCGAUGUGUGUGUGACUGUGUGCGUUUCAUUUACAGAGUGUGUGUCGAUGUGAGUUUGGGUGCCUAUGUGUUGUGUCGAAUGUAUGUGCGCUUAUGAAUGUGUGUGUGUCGACUGUGUUAGAUGACACAUUAACGGGUUAGAACGGGAUUAAAAUGGAGAAAGUGUUGUUGAUGUUGCAUAAUCCAUAGUCUUUUAAGUAUAUUGACAGUUUGAGGAGUCUAAUUUAAAUAUAUGCAAUUUCUGCAGCUAGGACAUAUCUUCAAGGUAACUUAAGGUUCCAUUUCCAAAGCAAACUAUGUUAGGUACAAGUGACUCGGUGGACAACUCAACCUUUACUUCUGUACGUGCUAAUGUGGCAAGUUCAACAAGUGGAAAUGCUCGGAUUAUGGUUGAGGAAGACUCCAUCACUUCAUAUGUUCAGUACUGUUGUGAUGGUUGUUCCACUGUCCCUAUACUCAGGCGUAGAUGGUAUUGUACAGUCUACCCUGAUUUCGAUUUACAUAAAGCAUGCUAUGAAAUGCUUGAUGUUGACCGACUUCCUCCGCCUCACUCCUGAGACCAUCCUAUGUCAGCAAUUCCAAUUGAAUCGAAACUAAGAGGGAAAUGAAAUGUAGUUCUCUACUGAUGAUUUUUGUGAUCGAUGUUGCUGCCUUUUGCAUCUGAUGCUGGCAUGAUGGCGUCUGCUCCUACAAGGAUAUCAUCCCUGAGUAUAUUAUAUUAAUAUUUAAUCAUGUAAAUACUAUUUUCAUACAUUUAUGUUAUUUAACUAUAUAUUGUUUGUCGUUACAAGAACAAUACCAUGAUAUAUAGUUUUGACAUCUAUUUUCUUUCCUU